rnacentral:rRNA from 1 species
GACGAAUGCUGGCUGCGUGCUUAACACAUGCAAGUCGAACGGUGAACCAGGGCUUGCCCUGGGGAUCAGUGGCGAACGGGUGAGUAACACGUGGGCAACCUGCCCCUCACUCUGGGAUAACUCCGGGAAACCGGGGCUAAUACCGGAUAUGACCUGGUGCGACAUCACACCAGGUGGAAAGAAUUUCGGUGAGGGAUGGGCCCGCGGCCUAUCAGCUAGUUGGUGGGGUAACGGCCCACCAAGGCGACGACGGGUAGCCGGCCUGAGGGGGCGACCGGCCACACUGGGACUGAGACACGGCCCAGACUCCUACGGGAGGCAGCAGUGGGGAAUAUUGCGCAAUGGGCGAAAGCCUGACGCAGCGACGCAGCGUGAGGGACGACGGCCUUCGGGUUGUAAACCUCUUUCAGCGGGGACGAAGCGAAAGUGACGGUACCCGCAGAAGAAGCACCGGCUAACUACGUGCCAGCCGCCGCGGUAAAAC